rnacentral:rRNA from 1 species
GACGAACGCUGGCGGCGUGCUUAACACAUGCAAGUCGAACAGUGGCGAACGGGUGAGUAACACGUGAGUAACCUGCCCUCCACUUUGGGAUAACUCCGAGAAAUCGGGGCUAAUACUGGAUAGUGGGGGAUGGGCUCGGGGCCGAUCAGUUUGUUGGUGAGGUAGUGUUCCCCAAGGCGGGACGGGUAGCCGGCCUGAGAGGGCGAGCGGCCACACUGGGACUGUGACACGGCCCAGACUCCUACGGGAGGCAGCAGUGGGGAAUAUUGCACAAUGGGCGAAAGCCUGAUGCAGCGACGCCGCGUGGGGGAUGACGGCCUUCGGGUUGUAAAGCACUUUAAGUUGGGAGGAGUUAAUACCUUGCUGUUUUGACGUUACCAACAGAAUAAGCACCGGCUAACUUCGUGCCAGCCGCCGCGGUAAUUC